CGGUGGAGCAUGUGGUUAAUUCGAAGCAACGCGAAGAACCUUACCAGGUCUUGGCAUCCCGAUGCUAUUUCUAGAGAUAGAAAGUACUUCGGUACAUCGGUGACAGGUGGUGCAUGGUUGUCGUCAGCUCGUGUCGUGAGAUGUUGGGUUAAGUCCCGCAACGAGCGCAACCCCUAUUGUUAGUUGCCAUCAUUCGGAGUUGGGCACUCUAGCGAGACUGCCGGUAAUAAACCGGAGGAAGGUGGGGAUGACGUCAAAUCAUCAUGCCCCUUAUGACCUGGGCUACACACGUGCUACAAUGGUUGGUACAACGAGUUGCGAGUCGGUGACGGCGAGCUAAUCUCUUAAAGCCAAUCUCAGUUCGGAUUGUAGGCUGCAACUCGCCUACAUGAAGUCGGAAUCGCUAGUAAUCGCGGAUCAGCACGCCGCGGUGAAUACGUUCCCGGGCCUU
rnacentral:rRNA from 1 species